GAUGAACGCUGGCGGCGUGCCUAAUACAUGCAAGUCGAGCGAACAGACGAGGAGCUUGCUCCUCUGACGUUAGCGGCGGACGGGUGAGUAACACGUGGAUAACCUACCUAUAAGACUGGGAUAACUUCGGGAAACCGGAGCUAAUACCGGAUAAUAUAUUGAACCGCAUGGUUCAAUAGUGAAAGACGGUUUUGCUGUCACUUAUAGAUGGAUCCGCGCCGCAUUAGCUAGUUGGUAAGGUAACGGCUUACCAAGGCGACGAUGCGUAGCCGACCUGAGAGGGUGAUCGGCCACACUGGAAAUGAGACACGGUCCAGACUCCUACGGGAGGCAGCAGGAGGGAAUCUUCCGCAAUGGGCGAAAGCCUGACGGAGCAACGCCGCGUGAGUGAUGAAGGUCUGCGGAUCGUAAAACUCUGUUAUUAGGGAAGAACAAAUGUGUAAGUAACUAUGCACGUCUUGACGGUACCUAAUCAGAAAGCCACGGCUAACUACGU
rnacentral:rRNA from 1 species